CGUACACUCCUGCGGGAGGCAGCAGUGGGGAAUAUUAGACAAUGGGCGCAAGCCUGAUCCAGCCAUGCCGCGUGAGUGAUGAAGGCCCUAGGGUUGUAAAGCUCUUUCACCGGUGAAGAUAAUGACGGUAACCGGAGAAGAAGCCCCGGCUAACUUCGUGCCAGCAGCCGCGGUAAUACGAAGGGGGCUAGCGUUGUUCGGAUUUACUGGGCGUAAAGCGCACGUAGGCGGACUAUUAAGUCAGGGGUGAAAUCCCGGGGCUCAACCCCGGAACUGCCUUUGAUACUGGUAGUCUUGAGUUCGAGAGAGGUGAGUGGAAUUCCGAGUGUAGAGGUGAAAUUCGUAGAUAUUCGGAGGAACACCAGUGGCGAAGGCGGCUCACUGGCUCGAUACUGACGCUGAGGUGCGAAAGCGUGGGGAGCAAACAGGAUUAGAAACCCUAGUAGUCCCAUGAU
rnacentral:rRNA from 1 species